rnacentral:rRNA from 1 species
GACGAACGCUGGCGGCGUGCCUAAUACAUGCAAGUAGAACGCUGAAGCGAGUAGCUUGCUCUUCUUGGGUGAGUUGCGAACGGGUGAGUAACGCGUAGGUAACCUGCCUUGUAGCGGGGGAUAACUAUUGGAAACGAUAGCUAAUACCGCAUAACAAUGGUUGACACAUGUCGUUUAUUUGAAAGGGGCAAUUGCUCCACUACAAGAUGGACCUGCGUUGUAGUAGCUAGUAGGUGAGGUAAUGGCUAACCUAGGCGACGGUACUGAGCCGACCUGGGAGGGUGAGCGGCCACACUGGGACUGGGACACGGCCCAGACUCCGACGGGAGGGAGCAGUAGGGGAUGUUAGGCAAUGGGGGCAAGCGUGACCGUGCAACGGCGCGUGAGUGAAGAAGGGUGUCGGAUCGUAAAGCUCUGUUGUAAGCGAAGAUGGGGCGGGAGAGUGGAAAGUGCACACUGUGACGGUAGCUGACCAGAAAGCGACGGCUAACUACGUG